rnacentral:rRNA from 1 species
CCUACGGGAGGCAGCAGUGGGGAAUUUUGGACAAUGGGCGCAAGCCUGAUCCAGCAAUGCCGCGUGAGUGAAGAAGGCCUUCGGGUUGUAAAGCUCUUUUGUCAGGGAAGAAACGGUGUGGGCUAAUAUCCCGCACUAAUGACGGUACCUGAAGAAUAAGCACCGGCUAACUACGUGCCAGCAGCCGCGGUAAUACGUAGGGUGCAAGCGUUAAUCGGAAUUACUGGGCGUAAAGCGUGCGCAGGCGGUUUUGUAAGUUUGUCGUGAAAUCCCCGGGCUCAACCUGGGAAUGGCGAUGAAGACUGCAAGGCUAGAAUCUGGCAGAGGGGGGUAGAAUUCCACGUGUAGCAGUGAAAUGCGUAGAGAUGUGGAGGAACACCGAUGGCGAAGGCAGCCCCCUGGGUCAAGAUUGACGCUCAUGCACGAAAGCGUGGGGAGCAAACAGGAUUAGAUACCCUGGUAGUCCACGCCCUAAACGAUGUCUACUAGUUGUCGGGUUUUAAUUAACUUGGUAACGCAGCUAACGCGUGAAGUAGACCGCCUGGGGAGUACGGUCGCAAGNUUAAAACUUAAAGGAAUUGACGGCUGAGAGNGCGAGACGACGACGAGGGAGAGG